UGCCCCCCUUCGAAGAAUAGGGGGUAUAUUGCUUUGCUCAUGUCUGUCUGUCGGUCUGUCGGUCGGUCUGUCGGUCCGUCCACCAGGUGGUUGUCAGACGAUAACUCAAGAACGCUUGGGCCUAGGAUCAUGAAACUUCAUAGGUACAUUGAUCAUGACUCGCAGAUGACCCCUAUUGAUUUUGAGGUCACUAGGUCAAAGGUCAAGGUCACGGUGACCAGAAAUAGUAAAAUGGUUUUUGAAUGAUAACUCAAGAACGCAUACGCCUAGGAUCAUGAAACUUCAUGGGUAGAUUGAUCAUAACUUGCAGAUGACCCCUAUUGAUUUUGAGGUCACUAGGUCAAAGGUCAAGGUCACGGUGACCCGAAAUAGUAAAAUGGUUUCCGGAUGAUAACUCAAGAAUGCAUACGCCUAGGAUCAUGAAACUUCAUGGGUAGAUUGAUCAUGACUUGCAGAUGACCCCUAUUGAUUUUGAGGUCACUAGGUCAAAGGUCAAGGUCACGGUGAC